UACGAAGGGGACUAGCGUUGUUCGGAAUUAUCUGGGCGUAAAGCGCACGUAGGCGGAUUGUAAGUCAGGGGUGAAAGUCCCGGGGCUCAACCUCGGAACUGCCUUUGAUACUGCCGUGCUUGAGGACUGGAGAGGAGAGUGGAAUUUACGGUGUAGCGGUGAAAUGCGUAGAUAUCGUAAGGAAGACCAGUGGCGAAGGCGGGUCUCGUGGACAGUUCCUGACGCUGA
rnacentral:rRNA from 1 species